rnacentral:lncRNA from 1 species
AAGAAAGGUUGGAGACUUCAGCAGAAAUGACAGUGUCUAUGAUGAGCUGGAACGUCACGACAAAGGAGAAGAGGACUCCCCUGUCAAGUGGAGGUCUGAGGAUGAAAUGGCAGCCGAAGCAGCAAGCCUGAAGAAAUAUUUUCAGUAAAAUCUGAGGUGAGACAAUCUGGAACAAAUCCUGGAGCAUAAGAAAACCAAAAAAGGGACUCGUUCUCCAAGUGCCCUGUGACAUUGGAUCUGCAGCUAACUAGCU